rnacentral:tRNA from 2 species
UGGCAAGUAGCACAGCGGUAGUGCUCCCGGCUGUUAACCGGGCGGUCGCAGGUUCGAAUCCUGCCUUGCUAGCCA